rnacentral:rRNA from 1 species
UUGCUCCUGGAUUCAGCGGCGGACGGGUGAGUAAUGCCUAGGAAUCUGCCUGGUGAGUGGGGGAUAACGUCCGGAAACGGGCGCUAAUACCGCAUACGUCCUGAGGGAGAAAGUGGGGGAUCUUCGGACCUCACGCUAUCAGAUGAGCCUAGGUCGGAUUAGCUAGUUGGUGGGGUAAAGGCCUACCAAGGCGACGAUCCGUAACUGGUCUGAGAGGAUGAUCAGUCACACUGGAACUGAGACACGGUCCAGACUCCUACGGGAGGCAGCAGUGGGGAAUAUUGGACAAUGGGCGAAAGCCUGAUCCAGCCAUGCCGCGUGUGUGAAGAAGGUCUUCGGAUUGUAAAGCACUUUAAGUUGGGAGGAAGGGCAGUAAGUUAAUACCUUGCUGUUUUGACGUUACCAACAGAAUAAGCACCGGCUAACUUCGUGCCAGCAGCCGCGGUAAUACGAAGGGUGCAAGCGUUAAUCGGAAUUACUGGGCGUAAAGCGCGCGUAGGUGGUUCAGCAAGUUGGAUGUGAAAUCCCCGGGCUCAACCUGGGAACUGCAUCCAAAACUACUGAGCUAGAGUACGGUAGAGGGUGGUGGAAUUUCCUGUGUAGCGGUGAAAUGCGUAGAUAUAGGAAGGAACACCAGUGGCGAAGGCGACCACCUGGACUGAUACUGACACUGAGGUGCGAAAGCGUGGGGAGCAAACAGGAUUAGA